rnacentral:misc_RNA from 1 species
GGAGACACCGACUAAUAUGGCCUCUGAUAAUCAGUCCUUUGCAGAUUUAUGGGUUGACUUCCUUCUCAAGGAGAAUGAAGAAAGAGAGAAGAGAGAAGCGGAGGAAAGUCUCAAGCUUCGGGAAGAACCACAACUUAGCAGUCCGAAUGUUGCCAGUACCGGUUCACAUUUACUUGAUCCCAGAACGAAGACAGCUGGUUCGAC